rnacentral:rRNA from 1 species
GAUGAACGCUGGCGGCGUGCCUAAUACAUGCAAGUCGAACGAAGGUAGCAAUACCUUAGUGGCGAACGGGUGAGUAACACGUAGGUAACCUGCCUUUCAGUUGGGGAUAACCGAGGGAAACUUUGGCUAAUACCGAAUUCGUGCUUCGAAGGCAUCUUUGGAGCAUAAAAGGGGCCUUUAAAGCCUCGCUGAUUGAUGGACCUGCGGCGCAUUAGUUAGUUGGUGAGAUAACAGCCCACCAAGACGAGGAUGCGUAGCCGACCUGAGAGGGUGAUCGGCCACACUGGAACUGAGACACGGUCCAGACUCCUACGGGAGGCAGCAGUAGGGAGUUUUCGGCAAUGGGGGAAACCCUGACCGAGCAACGCCGCGUGAGUGAUGAAGGUCUUCGGAUUGUAAAGCUCUGUUAUAAGGGAAGAACGGCAGCUAGAGGAAAUGCUAGCUGUUUGACGGUACUUUAUGAGAAAGCCACGGCUAACUACGUGCCAGCAGCCGCGGUAAAACGU